rnacentral:lncRNA from 1 species
AGUUGACAUUAACAUUUUUUUUGAGUAGACUACCAGCAAAAUAUUUUAAAACGAAAUGUUGAAUAUUAUCUACCAACAUGGAUAUUGCUUUUAUCCUAUUCAAAACUUGCAUGUAACUACAACGACUGAGUUGAGAGAGGGUUUCCGAGGAAUUUGAUCUCAUGCUGUUUACGAAGUUAAUUAAUUGUGUUUAAUUUCUACACGCAUAUUGCACUUUUAAGAUGAUUACCAAUGUUUCUAAAUGAUACAUAACUAAAGGCACAUUACAAACAUGUCUUGAUACUCAACGAGCUUAAAAUGUAUUAAUCUCUAUAACAUGAGAUAAAACAUAUUUUUUGGAUAAAAUUAUUUAUAGAUAGUAU